CACGUAGGGCGCGAGCGUUGUCCGGAAUUAUUGAGCGUAAAGAGCUCGUAGGCGGCCUGUUGCGUCCGCUGUGAAAGCCCGGGGCUUAACCCCGGGUCGGCAGUGGAUACGGGCAGGCUAGAGGUAGGUAGGGGAGAAUGGAAUUCCCGGUGUAGCGGUGAAAUGCGCAGAUAUCAGGAGGAACACCGGUGGCGAAGGCGGGUCUCUGGGCCGAUACUGACGCUGAGGAGCGAAAGCAUGGGGAGCGAACAGG
rnacentral:rRNA from 1 species